rnacentral:rRNA from 1 species
CGCCUAUUGAACAUAUAAUAGGUCCAUCCUGCCCAGUGAAUUUUAUUUCAACGGCCGCGGUAUCCUGACCGUGCAAAGGUAGCAUAAUCAUUUGCCUUUUAAUUGAAGGCUAGUAUGAAAGGACACACAAGAAUAACUCUGUCUCAUCUGGACCCCCUUAAACCUGAACUCUAGGUGAAGAUGCCUAGAUUUAUAUAAAGGACAAGAAGACCCUAUAGAGCUUUCCUAGUUACAGUUAUUAUACUUAAUACUAGUUUGGUUGGGACAACCAAAAGACAUUAAUACCUCUUUUCUCAUAAAUUCAACUCACACCCACUUAUGAACUUGAAAUUCAAGCUACCUUAGGGAUAACAGGCUAAUCCCACUAGAGAGAUCACAUUGACAGUGGGGAUUGGCACCUCGAUGUUGGCUUAGUGUUACCAUUAGGCGCAGCCGCUUAAUUGAGUUGGUUUGUUCAACCAUUAAAUCACU